rnacentral:rRNA from 1 species
UAGAGUUUGAUCCUGGCUCAGAACGAACGCUGGCGGCAGGCUUAACACAUGCAAGUCGAGCGCCCCGCAAGGGGAGCGGCAGACGGGUGAGUAACGCGUGGGAAUCUACCUUUUGCUACGGAAUAACUCAGGGAAACUUGUGCUAAUACCGUAUGUGCCCUUCGGGGGAAAGAUUUAUCGGCAAAGGAUGAGCCCGCGUUGGAUUAGCUAGUUGGUGAGGUAAAGGCUCACCAAGGCGACGAUCCAUAGCUGGUCUGAGAGGAUGAUCAGCCACACUGGGACUGAGACACGGCCCAGACUCCUACGGGAGGCAGCAGUGGGGAAUAUUGGACAAUGGGCGCAAGCCUGAUCCAGCCAUGCCGCGUGAGUGAUGAAGGCCCUAGGGUUGUAAAGCUCUUUCACCGGUGAAGAUAAUGACGGUAACCGGAGAAGAAGCCCCGGCUAACCUCGUGCCAGCAGCCGCGGUAA